rnacentral:rRNA from 1 species
UACGUAGGGUGCAAGCGUUGUCCGGAAUUAUUGGGCGUAAAGAGCUCGUAGGCGGUUUGUCGCGUCUGCUGUGAAAACCCGAGGCUCAACCUCGGGCCUGCAGUGGGUACGGGCAGACUAGAGUGCGGUAGGGGAGACUGGAAUUCCUGGUGUAGCGGUGAAAUGCGCAGAUAUCAGGAGGAACACCGGUGGCGAAGGCGGGUCUCUGGGCCAAAACUGACGCUGGAGGAGCGAAAGCCGUGGGGAGCGA